rnacentral:rRNA from 1 species
GACGAACGCUGGCGGCGCGCUUAACACAUGCAAGUCGAACGUGAAGCCGGGGCUUGCCCCGGUGGAAAGUGGCGAACGGGUGCGUAACACGUGAGCAACCUGCCCCGAAGACUGGGAUAACACCGGGAAACCGGUGCUAAUACCGGAUGCCCUCUUCUGAUCGCAUGGUCGGAUGAGGAAAUGGAUUCCGCUUCGGGAUGGGCUCGCGGCCUAUCAGCUUGUUGGUGAGGUAACGGCCCACCAAGGCGACGACGGGUAGCUGGUCUGAGAGGACGACCAGCCACACUGGGACUGAGACACGGCCCAGACUCCUACGGGAGGCAGCAGUGGGGAAUCUUGCUCAAUGGGCGAAAGCCUGAAGCAGCGACGCCGCGUGCGGGAUGAAGGCCCUCGGGUUGUAAACCGCUUUCAGCAGGGACGAAAUUGACGGUACCUGCAGAAGAAGGCCCGGCCAACUACGUGCCAGCAGCCGCCGCAGUAAG